rnacentral:rRNA from 1 species
GAUGAACGCUGGCGGCGUGCCUAAUACAUGCAAGUAGAACGCUGAAGGAAGGAGCUUGCUCUUUCCGGAUGGGUUGCGAACGGGUGAGUAACGCGUAGGUAACCUGCCUGGUAGCGGGGGAUAACUAUUGGAAACGAUAGCUAAUACCGCAUAACAGUAGAUGUUGCAUGAUAUCUACUUAAAAGGUGCAAUUGCACCACUACCAGAUGGACCUGCGUUGUAUUAGCUAGUUGGUGAGGUAACGGCUCACCAAGGCGACGAUACAUAGCCGACCUGAGAGGGUGAUCGGCCACACUGGGACUGAGACACGGCCCAGACUCCUACGGGAGGCAGCAGUAGGGAAUCUUCGGCAAUGGACGGAAGUCUGACCGAGCAACGCCGCGUGAGUGAAGAAGGUUUUCGGAUCGUAAAGCUCUGUUGUAAGAGAAGAACGAGUGUGAGAGUGGAAAGUUCACACUGUGACGGUAUCUUACCAGAAAGGGACGGCUAACUACGUG